UGGCUUCCAAAUCUCUCUCACCUGAACCCAGAUGGAGGUGGCGUUCCAGAGCCACCGAUCUCCCUAGCGCUCUGGAGAACAGACGUAUCCGUGUGGGACGGUUUUCAUCUUCCCCUCCUCUCCGAGCAGCUCGAUUGCAGCCAUUGUGCUAGUCGGUGCUGUGACCACUUCAGCUCCCCCAGGUCAGGGCGGGUGAGUCCUUGGAGUUCCACCAUCCCCAUGGGAAUCCUGGGCAGACCCUGCCACGGAGGGUUCCCCUUUGUCUCACCCUGCCCUGUGGGGUUGGGGAAACAAGGGCUUCCCCGUGGAGGGAGUGCUCUGUCUGGGAGACCGUCCGGGCAGAAAGGGUGCUAGGGCCUGCUGAGCACAUGGAUUCCCAAGCGGGGGCCUUUGUCCCUGCGGUGGGCGGCUGUCUGGGUUUGUGGUUAAGGCACGUGCUGGGGAACGGGAAAUGGUUCUGCGCUGGGGCCACUCACAAAUGAGGCCUUCACAGUUCAGAUCUGACGGCCAGGAGGGACCCGAGGCUGAGCCGCUGCCUAGCCCAGAGCAGAGAAUUCCACCCCGUCAGCCUGCACGGAGCCCAGGGCUUGUGUCUGGCUAAAGCGUCACUUCCAGAAAGACUGGAGAGCUACUGGCCCCUGUCAGGGUGGGGGCUGCAGCCUCACUGACCCAGCGGGAAUUCCGUGCAGGGCCUUGAAUUCUGGGUGCUCCCUGGUGCAGGGGGGGCAUAACACCAUGGCUAGCAGGGAGAACCUCGCCUUCCUCCUCCCCGGGGUAGCUGUCCUUGUGCUCGGGCCGAGGGAAGGGCGGCGACUGAGACCAGGGUGAGUGGUUGACGGGAUGGGAGGCCCCUUUCCGCUACACUACCUGGCCAGGAGCCAGACCCCGCCGGGCUCUCUGUGCCUCAGUUUCCCCAUCUGCAAAAUGGCCAACCCCACCCGCGGGCCCCUGUGGGGCUAACGCCGCUGCUGUUUGUAAGGUGCGGUAGUGGGAGCGAGGCGAGGUGGACUUUUGCAAAGAGGCAAUGCCUGGAGGAGGAAGUAACACCCAGAGCUUGUGGUCCGAGGGAGCUGCUGCUGCUGCGUAGCUGUGACUGUUGUCUCAGCGCCUUCACCAGUGACGGGGGAAGCAAAGCUCCCAGGAGGCAAAUCCACCCCGCUGCAAGAGCAUGGGCUUGGCCCGCGCUCGGCUCCCCCUGCUUGCUGUCCUGGCUCUAGCUCUCCGAGCCCCAGAUCUUGGAUUAAUCCAAGCACUGACACCCCACCGCCAGGUGAAUGGGAUUCUGGGAGGAUCGGUCGUGCUGUCUGUGGAUCUAUCACCCGGGAAAAAAUUGAACAAAAUCGAAUGGAGCUUUAGUAAUGGGUCAGGUGUGAUGAUCCAGCUGGCUGAGUUCAGUGUGGGGAAGUUUGAGCGACCCGAUCCCAGUGACAGAUUUAAGCAGAGGCUAGAAAAGCACAAUGAGACCUCGCUGAGGAUCAAGGCUCUGGAGCUGGGCGAUCGCGGAGUUUACGAGGCCCGGAUUAAGAUACAACCAGCAACUGUGGAGGAACAGGCCUUUCCCCUCGCGGUCUAUGAGCCUGUUCCAGUGCCGGAGAUAAAGAGUCACUCGCUCUCCAGCACGGCAGCUGGGUGCAAUGUCACUCUGCAGUGUGAGGUGUCUGGCAGGGAAGAGGUUAACGUCUCCUGGAGUAGCGGGAACCCACCCCGAGACCUGGGUGAUUUGGAGCGGUACCAGCUCACUCCUGAUGGCAGGACCCUCCGCCUGUCUCUGCAGCCCGACCCCCCGGACUCUACACUCACCUGCACGGCCAGCAAUCCAGUGGACCAGAAAAACGUCUCUCUUUACCUGCAGAGCAUCUGUCAAAGCGGAAGAGCGGCUCCCAGUCCUUGCCAUUGGAAAGCCAUUAUUGGGGCGCUGUUCCUGGGACUCGAGAUCAGUGCCAUGGUUCCUGUGACCCUGCUGCACAGAAAAAUGCCGUAUCACCGGCGGCUGCGGUAGAACCUCGUAUUGCAGAUGCCUGAUGAGAAGGUGGACAGACUGACGGGGAGGCGGGGGGAGCAGGCUAUCAGGUGAAAUCCUGGCCCCAGUGAAGUCAAUGGGAGUUUUGCCAGUGACUUCUGUGGAGUCCAGAUUUCACCCCCAGGUGUAGCAUGGUCCCCCGAAUCUCCAGUGAAAUGCCCCUGUUCAUCGGAGAAUAGUCCGAGCAAGCUUUGUCUAAAGGAGAUGUUUCUCCACGGUAAAGAGAAAUAAAAGUACUGGAUAUUUGAGAGUACUCUAAUCCUAGAGUAUCGUGCUGAGUUGGGAUUAGCUAUGCAGUUACUGACUCACACAUCUAGUGAUACUCUUCAAAGCCCUGCUCACUGAUUGGCUGAAAUGGUCUGAUUUCCAUUCUGACUGUAAGGUUCUCUCUCUAACGCAGCGGGUUUCAACCUAUGAUCUCUGCAGAACUGGAGAACGAGGCAGCAUCUUCAGAGCGGAGCUGUUCCAGGCAUGGUGCAGAGGAGGGCAAGGCGGACUCUGCAUUCGGACCAUGGAAAGGGGCAGCUGAUGGUCUGUCAAUCUAGGUACUUAUAUGACCAUCGCUGAAGUAUCUGCCAGGCUUUGGAAACAGCCAGUACCAUGGUCGGCAUUACAGCGCUGCAGCAGCAUGGCCCCACCACCGUAGUGUAGACGUACCCCAAGGGCCAUUUGCACCAUUCUGGCCACACCAAGGGGCCUUAAAAGGGGUAGAAAUGACAGUUCAGUUCACUUUAAGGCUGCUCUAGGUUUCCAGAGCCUUGUAAAGGGGCCUCAUUAUCAAUGAGAACCAGGCUGUUUAUAAAGAGAACAGGAGUCCUUGUGGCACCUUAGAGACUAACACAUUUAUUUCAGCAUAAGCUUUCAUGGGCUACAGCCCACUUCAUCGGCUGCAUAGGCUGUUAAUGUGUAACGAAGGGAGUCGUUUACACCAGAAUAAAGUCACUUCUGUUCCAGCACAGAGUGUCCCCAUGGAGUGUGAUACCAGCACAGCUACAGUUCUGUUGUCAAUUCCCCAUGUAGACAAGCCCUUAUCACACAGCAGAUAGUUCCACGCUCGUCCUAUAUGCAGGAGAUCUGUU